rnacentral:rRNA from 1 species
GAUGAACGCUGGCGGCGUGCCUAAUACAUGCAAGUCGAGCGAACAGACGAGGAGCUUGCUCCUCUGACGUUAGCGGCGGACGGGUGAGUAACACGUGGAUAACCUACCUAUAAGACUGGGAUAACUUCGGGAAACCGGAGCUAAUACCGGAUAAUAUAUUGAACCGCAUGGUUCAAUAGUGAAAGACGGUCUUGCUGUCACUUAUAGAUGGAUCCGCGCCGCAUUAGCUAGUUGGUAAGGUAACGGCUUACCAAGGCAACGAUGCGUAGCCGACCUGAGAGAGUGAUCGGCCACACUGGAACGGAGACACGGUACAGACUCCUACGGGAGGCAGCAGUAGGGAAUCUUCCGCAAUGGGCGAAAGCCUGACGGAGCAACGCCGCGUGAGUGAUGAAGGUCUUCGGAUCGUAAAACUCUGUUAUUAGGGAAGAACAAAUGUGUAAGUAACUAUGCACGUCUUGACGGUACCUAAUCAGAAAGCCACGGCUAACUACGUG